GAAAUAGUUAAAUAAAAAUUAAAGUAAAAGGAAAGGUAUAAAUUACAAAUGACAGAAAGUUGCCGAGGACCAAAUCACUAUGCGCUCGAAGUUGUGGGGACGAAAUGGGACAAUAUCCCAAGUCCUAUGCGCUUCGUUUCAUUUGUCCAGGUCGGGGACUAAAUCAGAAAUGAAAUACAAUAAUAGGGCAAAAAAAAAAACACGAAUCAGGACCACAUUGUAAUGCGGUUCAAAAUCAAAGGGACUCGCCACAUAAAUAGCCCCAUUUUUUGUUUUAUCUCAUUUAGCCCUAGGAAACUUUAAAAGAACGCAGCCCCUUCCAUCCUCUCCCCCUCUUUCUUGCGACUAGAGUCUCAAAGCCCUCAUGGCCGCCGUUGCCAUGGUACCACCGCAGGUGGUGGUCGAUGACUCGAGGAGAAGGGUUUGUUCGACCCCUUUUGGAUCCAUAUUCGGGGAUCUAGUAUUUCCUCCAUGAGAAAUCGAAAUGGAAGCCCCCCAUCUUCGUUGGAUUCGGUUCAAACGGAGAAGAACUCCGACAGUGCCGACGGUUCAAGAUUUAGGUAACAGCUUUCUCUCUUCCUUUUCUUCUUUUUCGUUUUAAAACAGAUUUUUUGUAAAGAAAAUAAAAAAAAAAUAAAACAGAAGAUGUAUAUACAAAUAAAGAAACGGAAAUGAAGGGACGCAAGAAUGAAUUUCAACCCCUUUUUUUUCUGAUUGCUUGAAUCCUGGUACAAAACUUUUGUUCUUUUUAUUUCUUUUUUCCCUUUUUUAGAAUACCAUCGGUUCCCCCUAAAAUACAAUCGAUUCCCCCUUUGAAAUAUCAAAAAUCCUCCCCCCAUUAAUACCUUCGUUUCUUCUCGGCUUUAUAGUAGGUUACAAUAUUAGGAAAAUAUUAUUUAUUUUUGUCAUUUUCGUUUGUCUGCUUCUGUCUUGGUGUCUGCUUCAUUUUGCAGGUGUCAGAUGACCCUCAGAGGCGUGCGGGGUGGCGAUGACAGAGGCGUGGUGGCCGAGCACGCGUGGGGAGGCCAAUGGUUCGGCGGCCACAUGCUUGGGGCUAGGGUUUUUUACUUGUUUAGCAGAAAAUAUUUUGUGGGCUAAGUUUUUAUGUUUAUUGGGCUUAUUGGGCUUGCAACUAGGUAAUGGGUUUUGUCAUUGUUUUAUUUGGUUUUUGAGCCUCGGGCAAAAUUUGGGCCAUACAAUCAUUUAAUUAAUCGUGUUUGUUUUUUUUGGUUCAGUUCUAUUAAUUGUCAGUUAAACCUAAUCGUAAGUCGAACCACUUGCCUAGCCCCGAAGGCUCACCUAAAAAGUGGAAGGAUUUGGGAAAAUAUAUAGGCCCGGAAAAUGCGCUUAAACAAAAAAUAAGGUCCGUUUUCUAAACAAGUCAGGCCUAGGGUAAGAUUUUUUUGGCUUAAGCCGGUCCGAAAUUACUUAAUUUUUUUUACUGUUAUUUUGCUAUCCUUUGUUGUUAUUUGCUGUCAUUUUGAUGUUGUUUUGCUACCAUUUUGUUAUUAGUGUUUAGAUAUUGUAUAAUUCUUGCACUACAGGAAAAUAGGGCUUUAGCGGCGUUUUAUCAAAAAACGCCGCAAAAAUUGUAAAACACAGAGCAAUAGCCGCUAAAAACUGAGCAAUAGCGGCGCUUUUGGUAAAACGCCGCUAAAAGACAGAGCUUUAGCGGCGUUUUUGGUAAAACAGACAGAGAUUUAGCGGCGCUUUUGGUAAAACGCCGCUAAAAGACAGCACAUUAGCGAUGCUUUUAGUAAAACGUCGCUAAAAGACAGAGCAGUAGCGGCGCUUUUAGUAAAACGCCGCUAAAAGACAGAGCAUUAGCGGCGCUUUUGGUAAAACGCCGCUAAAAGUCAUAUAACUCUUAAAAUCUUAAACCCCAAAAAAAUCAUAAGCACUGCUUUAUAACCCCUAAAAUAGUAAACUCUUAAAUCCUAACAAACCCUAAACACUAAACUAUAACCUUUAAAACCCUAAAUGACGCAAUAGGUGCAUUUUUAGCGGCGCUUGGUUAUAAACGCUGCUAAUAUUAAAUUAUUUUGUUGAAAAUUUCGUCGUUUAUCUGUCUUAUAUAUUUUUUACCCACACCUGAAACACUUAAUAUUUUCUCCAUUUUUCCCUAGUUCUAUUUCCCUCUUCUUCCUCAUCCUAAAUCCCUAAAGUAUUAUCACCCAUUCUCAAAUUCGACAUUCAAAUCCCUAGCGAAUUUAAUAAUAAUAAUAAAAGUAAUUUUAAUAAUUAAACUUAAAUUCAGAAAUUUGAAACAUAGAGGAAUUAAAUUCUUAAGAAUAGAAAUAUAAUGACUAAAUAUUAAUUUUACGAAAAGUACAAAUACUUAUCUCAUAUUUUAGCUUUUACAGAUUAAGUGGUUUAGUAUUCAAUUUGUUAAAGUAUGUUAAGAGAAUUACUUUUUCUUUUUUAAGAUUUAACACUUCUAUGUGAGAAAAUAUUAUUUAACUCGUAUAUUUAUUAAAAGUUUAUAUAAAAAUUAAUUUAAAAGUCUAUAUAAAAAUUAAUUGUUAUUUUAAUCAUAAAGUUAAUUGUGUUUCGAAUUUUUAUUAUAGAAAAAUAUUUGUUAAAAAUGAAAAAAAUUAAAAUACUGUUAUUUAAAAUAAUUUUAAAGUUUUUUGGGUAUAUGACUUAUUGUUUUUUAAUUUAUAUAUUAAAUAAAUUCUUAUAUAAUAGUAAAAGAGAUAUAUAGUCUUAAUAAAUUUUAAAAUAUUAAAUUAAUUAUCAUUAUAGUUUAAGAUUUAUGGCUUAGCGUAUAUGAUUUAGGGUUUAAAAUAUAAGAGUUACUAUUUUAAGGUUUAUGAAUUAUGGAUUAUGGGUUUAUGGAUUAUGGUUUACAGUUUAUGGUUUAAGGGUUGGGGUUUAAGGUUUAGGUGUUAGGGGUUAUGGGUUAGGGGUUAUGGGUUAUGGAUUUAAGGGUUAUGUUGUAUGAUUUAGGGUUUAGGGGAUAAAAGUUAGGGGUUUAGGUUUAGAUUAGUUACUUAGUAUUUUUUAAUUUAUAUAUUAAAUAAUUUCUUAUAUAUUCGUAAAAGAGAUAAUAUUAAGGCUCCGUUUGUUUGCAGGUAAAAUGUUUUCUGGAAAAUAAUUUCUGGAAAAUAAUUUCUUGAAAAAUGAUUUAUGGAAAAUGAUUUACUUUUCUGGUGUUUGGAUGAAUCUGUGUAAAAUAUUUUCUGUUGUUUGGCAGAUUUCCUGAAAAUAUUUUUCUGAAAAGCUGUUUUAAUAAAAAUUUAUAUAUUUAAGAAUUUAUUAUCUUUUCCUUGUUUGAUUGAGUUUACUUUAUAUAUAUAUAUUAAUAAAUUUAUAUUUUAAAUUUAUAUAUUAAUAAAAAAUUUUCCUUCAUAUUUUACCCAGGUAUAAUACGUUGCUGCUGGUGCUCUAUUUGAA
rnacentral:lncRNA from 1 species